UAAGCCUGCGAAGGUGGCCUGUGAGGGUUGCUGGAGGUAUCAGAAGUGCGAAUGCUGACAUAAGUAACGAUAAAGCGGGUGAAAAGCCCGCUCGCCGGAAGACCAAGGGUUCCUGUCCAACGUUAAUCGGGGCAGGGUGAGUCGACCCCUAAGGCGAGGCCGAAAGGCGUAGUCGAUGGGAAACGGGUUAAUAUUCCCGUACUUGGUGUUACUGCGAAGGGGGGACGGAGAAGGCUAUGUUGGCCGGGCGACGGUUGUCCCGGUUUAAGCGUGUAGGUGUGUGUUCCAGGUAAAUCCGGUUCACUUUAACACUGAGGCGUGACGACGAGGCACUACGGUGCUGAAGCAACAAAUGCCCUGCUUCCAGGAAAAGCCUCUAAGCAUCAGGUAACAUCAAAUCGUACCCCAAACCGACACAGGUGGUCAGGUAGAGAAUACCAAGGCGCUUGAGAGAACUCGGGUGAAGGAACUAGGCAAAAUGGUGCCGUAACUUCGGGAGAAGGCACGCUGACACGUAGGUGAAGUGAUUUACUCACGGAGCUGAAGUCAGUCGAAGAUACCAGCUGGCUGCAACUGUUUAUUAAAAACACAGCACUGUGCAAACACGAAAGUGGACGUAUACGGUGUGACGCCUGCCCGGUGCCGGAAGGUUAAUUGAUGGGGUCAGCGCAAGCGAAGCUCCUGAUCGAAGCCCCGGUAAACGGCGGCCGUAACUAUAACGGUCCUAAGGUAGCGAAAUUCCUUGUCGGGUAAGUUCCGACCUGCACGAAUGGCGUAAUGAUGGCCAGGCUGUCUCCACCCGAGACUCAGUGAAAUUGAACUCGCUGUGAAGAUGCAGUGUACCCGCGGCAAGACGGAAAGACCCCGUGAACCUUUACUAUAGCUUGACACUGAACAUUGAGCCUUGAUGUGUAGGAUAGGUGGGAGGCUUUGAAGUGUGGACGCCAGUCUGCAUGGAGCCGACCUUGAAAUACCACCCUUUAAUGUUUGAUGUUCUAACGUGGACCCGUGAUCCGGGUUGCGGACAGUGUCUGGUGGGUAGUUUGACUGGGGCGGUCUCCUCCUAAAGAGUAACGGAGGAGCACGAAGGUUGGCUAAUCCUGGUCGGACAUCAGGAGGUUAGUGCAAUGGCAUAAGCCAGCUUGACUGCGAGCGUGACGGCGCGAGCAGGUGCGAAAGCAGGUCAUAGUGAUCCGGUGGUUCUGAAUGGAAGGGCCAUCGCUCAACGGAUAAAAGGUACUCCGGGGAUAACAGGCUGAUACCGCCCAAGAGUUCAUAUCGACGGCGGUGUUUGGCACCUCGAUGUCGGCUCAUCACAUCCUGGGGCUGAAGUAGGUCCCAAGGGUAUGGCUGUUCGCCAUUUAAAGUGGUACGCGAGCUGGGUUUAGAACGUCGUGAGACAGUUCGGUCCCUAUCUGCCGUGGGCGCUGGAGAACUGAGGGGGGCUGCUCCUAGUACGAGAGGACCGGAGUGGACGCAUCACUGGUGUUCGGGUUGUCAUGCCAAUGGCACUGCCCGGUAGCUAAAUGCGGAAGAGAUAAGUGCUGAAAGCAUCUAAGCACGAAACUUGCCCCGA
rnacentral:rRNA from 3 species